rnacentral:tRNA from 1 species
AACCUAUUAGCUCAAAUGGUAGGGCAAUGUGCAAUUGCACAUGGAUGUAGGUUCAAAUCCUACAUAGGUCA